CUUAUACCCAACCCAAUAUAACUCCCAAUUAAAAAGUCUCCACUUAGUCUCAAAUCUCUCCUACCCUAACCCUCAAAGCUUCUAUUUGUGCGUUCCAGCCGCGUCUGCUUCUGCUCUACAUCUUCUACGGUAUUUCUGGUAUCCGGCUAAAAUUGAAGUAUGACACCGUGUUCGAGCUCGUGGUUUUAAAAAAAGAGUGAAACACUCACUACUGGAGAUGUUUUUAAGAUUUGUAUCCUUAAAAUGGAGGAAAGGGAAAGAGUCAAGAGACACGCUUUUUCUUUGGACUCUGAGACUUUAGUUGGUAAUCAUCUUCAUUAUUCACCAAAAGAAUUAUCUCUAUUCCCUAUACAACGAUUCAUAUUUCCCAUUAAUCUCUCGUCGAAAAUCUGAAGUACUCGUUCAUUUUUUUCGUCAAUCUUUUUUCAAGACUCGAAUUCAAUUCACCAGGUUUUAAAAGUGGCCAAGCAAGCAAUUGACCUGAACGUGUGGAUUGAGGAAGCACGGGUCAAAUUUUCGCCGGAGAAGUUAAAGACAGAGACAUAUUCCUAUUGUCUGUUAAGGUAGUUUUGGCUUCAUCUCUUUCCUGUAUGGCAGUUUUUAGAAGUCGAAUAAUUGAUUUAAUUGCUUCACGAUUCACAUAUUCCUUAUUGGAUCCUGUAAAUUAUUUUAAAGUACUGGGUCCUGUAAAUGGUCAGAUUUGUUUAUUCUGUUUAUUUAUCUGAUUUCUUCUUAUUAAUUAAUUGCUUUAGAUGGAGAUUGCUAUUCCAUAGGCACUAUGCAAAAAAGUACAGAAUCAUGUAGUGAUCAAUGAUCAUAUAUAAUAUUCUUUGCGCCUAAAUACUGAUUUAUCAUUUAUAGGACGCAAUAAUUUUAUUAUAACGUACAUUUUAAAUCUCAGAGUUGGUGAGUGUUUAUACUCAUUAGGUUUGGUUUAUUCUAUAGGACUUGAUCAAUUGUUUUCUUUUCGAUAUCAAUUGAAUCUCAAUUCUCUAGUAAUUAAUAUCUAUAUGAAGCGAUAAUUUUACCCAAAUCCUUUAUCUUUUAUCAAAAACUGCAAUCAUAUAGUUAGUAUCUUUCACUAAAAUGAAUUCCAAUGGAUAGUUAUCCUUGGGAAGCUUAAUUUUCUUAAUUUAUUUAUAGUAAAAUAAAGUUACAUUGAAAUGUAUGCAUAAAAAUAUUUAUCUUGUUGUUAUAAGGCUAUUUGUUCAUACGAAUGUAACCAUUUGUAAAUAUCUUCCAGAGGAGGAAGUUGGUUUUGCAAAAUUAGUUAAUCAAUUGAUUAAAAAGUCAAUUGUUUUUCCUUUCUGAUAUGGUCUAUUGACUAUGGCAGGCCUUGAAGGAACCAUACGAGAUUGUUCCAACUCGCAAAUGGAAAGGAAAAAACAAAAUCAACAAAAUAGUUUUUAUAGGUAUGCAUUCGUAAUGGCUUAUGCGAUUUCCAAUUUUUAAAUGAAUGCCAAACUUUAGAUAGGUGUUUCUUGUGUACAGGUGGAUUGUUAAAUGAAGAGCUAUCAACCUGGUCAUACUAUAAAGAAGGAAAGAGUAAACUAUUAUAUUGGUUGUAAUCUUAUUUUUUUCCCCUCUUUCUUGAGUUUAAGCAAUCAUGGAUAAAAAAAGGAAAGAUUAAACUAUUAUAUUGGUUGUUCUUAUUUACUUUUAUCCAAAAUCGACAACAUUUUGCUUAUAAAAUUGUGCAAUUAGUUUAUCUCAAUUUACAUUCAAUCAAGUCUUUGUUUUAUUUUUUUCGAUUUUCUUGGUUGUGAAAGUGCUUGUUAUCAUAUGCUGAUCUCUUACUGCUUUCCUGUGGAUUUUGUUUAUGUAUAGCAUAACAUCAUGACAAGGAAGAUGCUUUUUGAUGGGAAGCUAGGCACUGCUGGUGGGUAGGAGACUUAAAAGGACUUUGAUUUGUUUGUGAUUGAAGAUGGCAUUGGUGAAGUUCGUUCCUCACAAUUUCCUAGUCUAGAACUCAUUUUUCACUUAGUCUAUACACCGUUUGUACUAAAAGUCUAGGAUACAUUUGUAACUAAGAUAUUAAGGUGCAUGACACAUUUUGUGGUUAAAUAUAGGAUAUUUAAAUUUAUGUAAUGACUAUUAAUAAUUAUUUUAUGUGCAAUGACAAUUACCUUUUGUACUCGGUAUUGUAUAUUGUGAAUUUCUUUAUUUUUGUUA
rnacentral:lncRNA from 1 species